GUUUUGAAAACUAAAACAGAAUUAAAAGGUAAUAAAAGAAAAUAAGUUUUAAUAAAAUAAAUGUUUGCUGAUGAUAUCUGUAGCAUGAUGAGUUAACUGUAAUAGGCGCGUACAGCUCCUUUAUAAUAGAGAGUUACCUAUAUCUUAAAAUAUUCCAUCACGGACACUGCUAUGUUAACACGUCUUAUAUAUUAUAGUUAAGAAUAAUAAACGUAUUUAUAUAUACUUAUGUAGCAGGGUCAUAUUUUCGUAUAACAGUAUUUAUUUAUGAAACUUGUCAGCUCUUACCGGUGUUUUUUUUCUUUAGGUUUUGAUAAUUUCUUGCUGGUCUUUUAUUUUAUUGUUUUCUGUGUGAUCUCGCGCGAGUUUGGCGGGAAUGUUGUGUUGAAAAGAGUUUACACGGUUGAUGUAGAGAACAUUCUGUUAAUUUGAACUUGUUUAUAUGAUUUACAUUUGGUUGAGCUAUCCAAGUGUUUAUGUAGUUUUUUAACCAUCACGUGAGACAGGAUGUAUGUGAUGUGAAGUGAAGUGAUAUAAAUUGCCACAUUGUAUUGUGGAAUAGGCUUAAGAUCCCUUAGAUCUUGCCUUGAUUAAAGUUGACUUCAACAGAGAAGAUAUAUAGUAUAUUCAUGAGUUUGACUGUAUAUGUAGAUUGGAAACAAUCAAUGAAUUACCACAACUACCCUGUGUUAUAACACCAAGUGUUACACUUAUGUCGUUCAUAAACCCAUGACGUAACAAUAUCGUACAUACAAACUAAUAUGUUUCAUUAAAUUACUACUAUGACGUCAUUCCUUUGUUCUGAUCGUACUGUAUUUUCUGUACGAAAUCUGCUGUGGUCAUAGUAUUAUUUUUAGUGCUCGCCAAUUUUUUUAAGCCAAUCACCGACGAGGAUUUUUUUCAAAUUUUCAGGUUACAAAUCUUAAUAGAACAGCUUUUAUAUAAACUGGACGUUUUAUAUUAUAAAACGAAAGUGGGCGGAGCACUAAGCCGGUUAGAGUGCAUAUUGGAUGUUCUUCGUAAAUAAGAAAGCUACAGUCGCUUCGCAAGCUCCGCUCCUUUUUAGCUUUCUUAUUUACGAAGAACACCCAAUAUGCACUCUAACCUAUACUUACAAUAGCUUUAGUAGCUCUUACAUUUGGUUUGCAAUCAUGCAACUACAUAGUUAGGUAUGUUUUGGUUGAGUCUAUUAUGUUUUGUUUAGGGGGUGAGUUGUCAAACACAAAUUUACAAUUUAUAUGCAUUUAUUUUUUUCCAAUGAUUGUUAUUAUCUUAAAUGCUUCUGGGAUUGUUGUUUUAUCAAUCCAUUUAUAAAUAAGAUUGUUAUAUGUCUAUUAACGAUAUAAUUUUAAUGAACACGAAAUUAGUUCACACCUUUAUGUGUAUUGAUAACGUGAUGGUUUAAGCCAACGAAAACACAUCAAUAUUAUUACAAUCAGGCAGAGAAAAGGUUUGCAAAGAGUAAAUCGAUAAUCUUUAUGUAGCAAACAAACUUUGAAUUGCAAGUAUUUUUUUCAUAUCUUUUCGGCAGGAUAAACUGUCCGAGGAGGGCCAGGCAUUUUCGUAUCGUAAAAUGGCUGCCAUUUACAGUAUCAAGUGAUUAUCCCAAGCGCCACGGGAAUUAUAAAUAUAGCUAACCUCGGCGCGUCGCAUAGGAUGGAAAAUAC